rnacentral:rRNA from 1 species
GACGAACGCUGGCGGCGUGCCUAAUACAUGCAAGUCGAACGCAGGGGGGACGGGUGAGUAACACGUGGGUAACCUCCCAUCAGAGGGGAUAACACUUGGAAACAGGGGCUAAACCGAUACUGAUGGAUGGACCCGCGGUGCAUUAGCUAGUUGGUGAGGUAACGGCUCACCAAGGCCACGAUGCAUAGCCUACCUGGGAGGGUGAUCGGCCACCCUGGGAUGGAGCAACGGCCCAGCCUCUUCCGGGAGGCAGAAGUAGGGAAUCUUCGGCAAUGGACGAAAGUCUGACCGACCAACGCGGCGUGAGUGAAGAAGUUUUUCGGUUCGUAAACCUCUGUUGUUAGAGAAGCGGUAUCUAACCAGAAAGCCACGGCUAACUACGUGCCAGCCGCCGCGGUAAUUC